rnacentral:piRNA from 1 species
AGUGUUAUCGAUAGGACAGAUGAAGU